rfam:Tissierella praeacuta DSM 18095 genome assembly, contig: EK13DRAFT_scaffold00002.2
AUAAAUUCGAAGACAAAGAAGAGUAGUUAAUUCUUAUCUUUCACAGAGAGCUAAAGAUUGGUGGGACUUUGGCAAAGAUGGAACUAAUGAAUGGACUUUGUAGAAGCUGGUGGAAAUCUAUAGAGAGUACCCCGUGCCGGAAGCCUACCGUUAACUAAGGACAGGAUAUGUUAGUAUCCCAUUAAGAGAGAUGCAUUUUUGCAUAAUUUAGGUGGCACCGCGAAUUCAACCUUCGUCCUAUUG